GACUUCGGGGGACGAUACGGCGUCGAGCGGCGGACGGGUGAGUAAUGCCUAGGAAAUUGCCCUGGUGUGGGGGAUAACCAUUGGAAACGAUGGCUAAUACCGCAUAAUACCUACGGGUCAAAGAGGGGGACCUUCGGGCCUCUCGCGUCAGGAUAUGCCUAGGUGGGAUUAGCUAGUUGGUGAGGUAAUGGCUCACCAAGGCGACGAUCCCUAGCUGGUCUGAGAGGAUGAUCAGCCACACUGGAACUGAGACACGGUCCAGACUCCUACGGGAGGCAGCAGUGGGGAAUAUUGCACAAUGGGCGCAAGCCUGAUGCAGCCAUGCCGCGUGUGUGAAGAAGGCCUUCGGGUUGUAAAGCACUUUCAGUCGUGAGGAAGGUAGUGUAGUUAAUAGCUGCAUUAUUUGACGUUAGCGACAGAAGAAGCACCGGCUAACUCCGUGCCAGCAGCCGCGGUAAUACGGAGGGUGCGAGCGUUAAUCGGAAUUACUGGGCGUAAAGCGCAUGCAGGUGGUUUGUUAAGUCAGAUGUGAAAGCCCGGGGCUCAACCUCGGAAUAGCAUUUGAAACUGGCAGACUAGAGUACUGUAGAGGGGGGUAGAAUUUCAGGUGUAGCGGUGAAAUGCGUAGAGAUCUGAAGGAAUACCGGUGGCGAAGGCGGCCCCCUGGACAGAUACUGACACUCAGAUGCGAAAGCGUGGGGAGCAAACAGGAUUAGAUACCCUGGUAGUCCACGCCGUAAACGAUGUCUACUUGGAGGUUGUGGCCUUGAGCCGUGGCUUUCGGAGCUAACGCGUUAAGUAGACCGCCUGGGGAGUACGGUCGCAAGAUUAAAACUCAAAUGAAUUGACGGGGGCCCGCACAAGCG
rnacentral:rRNA from 1 species